rnacentral:lncRNA from 1 species
UGGGGAUUCUCUCUUUAAAUCAUGUUAAACUCAAAUAGACAACAAAACUUGUGGCACCGAUUAAACAUUAGUAGUUGGCCACUUAAGCCUUAGUUGUCCCAGCUUUUUAGAUUUUUCUUAAUUCUUUUUCUAAGCAGAGUUUCAACAAGAUCUCUUUCUCAAUAUAUAUAUAUAUAUAUAUAUUGGGUUUUAAUCUUUCUAUGAAGCAAAAAGGAAAUGGAACAGGAUGAAUGCAUGUUUAUUUAUUUUUAUAUUUUUUUUAUUCCACCACGGUGAAUAUUCGUGUGGGCUUUUACACACCACACAAUUUAUUCUCAUGGGGUUUUAGUAUUUAAGAUGCAUUGAGUCAUAUAAAAUAUUUUUAUUAUAUUUUCUAAUGCAAUAAUAAUGCAGAAAUAUAAAUAUGUUAUGG